rnacentral:rRNA from 1 species
UACGUAGGUGGCAAGCGUUGUCCGGAAUUACUGGGCGUAAAGCGUGCGCAGGCGGUUUUGUAAGUCUGUCGUGAAAGCCCCGGGCUCAACCUGGGAAUUGCGAUGGAGACUGCAAGGCUUGAAUCUGGCAGAGGGGGGUAGAAUUCCACGUGUAGCAGUGAAAUGCGUAGAGAUGUGGAGGAACACCGAUGGCGAAGGCAGCCCCCUGGGUCAAGAUUGACGCUCAUGCACGAAAGCGUGGGGAGCAAACAGG